AAGGGGCGCCAGAGAGGGUGAGAGCCCCGU
rnacentral:snRNA from 1 species